AAACCAUCAAGCCUCGCUUGGUAUUGGACUCGGUCGAGUGACCUGUCCGUAACCCGUUGGCGGUGCAGUCCGGCUUCAAGCGUAGCAGAAUUUUCGCUUCAGGAGUCCGCGGCGGUGCCUGCUAGAGAAUCUCAACCCAAAUU
rnacentral:misc_RNA from 1 species